rnacentral:rRNA from 1 species
CCUACGGGUGGCUGCAGUGAGGAAUAUUGGUCAAUGGACGAGAGCCUGAACCAGCCAAGUAGCGUGAAGGAUGACAGCCCUAUGGGUUGUAAACUUCUUUUAUAUGGGAAUAAAUUGCCCCACGUGUGGGAUUUUGUAUGUACCAUAUGAAUAAGGAUCGGCUAAAUCCGUGCCAGCAGCCGCGGUAAUACGGAGGAUGCGAGCGUUAUCCGGAUUUAUUGGGUUUAAAGGGAGCGUAGGUGGGUUCUUAAGUCAGGUGUGAAAGUUUGCGGCUCAACCGUAAAUUUGCAGUUGAAACUGUGAGACUUGAGUACGGGAGGGGUAAACGGAAUUCGUGGUGUAGCGGUGAAAUGCUUAGAUAUCACGAAGAACUCCGAUUGCGAAGGCA